AAAUGAAUAGACGGGGGCCCGCACAAGCGGUGGAGCAUGUGGUUUAAUUCGAUGCAACGCGAAGAACCUUACCGGGUCUUGACAUCCAACGAAUCUGGUGGAAACACCGGAGUGCUCUUCGGAGAACGUUGAGACAGGUGGUGCAUGGUUGUCGUCAGCUCGUGUCGUGAGAUGUUGGGUUAAGUCCCGCAACGAGCGCAACCCCUGCUGUUAGUUGCUAACAGGUAAAGCUGAGCACUCUAGCAGGACUGCCGGUGACAAACCGGAGGAAGGUGGGGAUGACGUCAAAUCAUCAUGCCCUUUAUGAUCCGGGCUACACACGUGCUACAAUGGCCGGUACAGAGAGAAGCGAAGCCGCGAGGUGGAGCAAAUCUCAGAAAGCCGGUCACAGUUCGGAUUGCAGGCUGCAACUCGCCUGCAUGAAGGCGGAAUCGCUAGUAAUCGCGAAUCAGCACGUCGCGGUGAAUGCGUUCCCGGGCCUUGUACACACCGCCCGU
rnacentral:rRNA from 1 species